AUUGAACGCUGGCGGUAUGCUUAACACAUGCAAGUCGAACGAUGAGAAAGAGCUUGCUCUUUCGAUUAGUGGCGGACGGGUGCGUAACGCGUAGGAAUCUACCUAUUAGUGGGGGACAACUUAGGGAAACUUAAGCUAAUACCGCAUACGCCCUACGGGGGAAAGGAGGGGAUCGCAAGACCUUGCGCUGAUUGAGCGGCCGAUAUCAGAUUAGCUAGUUGGUGAGGUAAAGGCUCACCAAGGCGACGAUCCGUAGCGGGUCUGAGAGGAUGAUCCGCCACACUGGAACUGAGACACGGUCCAGACUCCUACGGGAGGCAGCAGUGGGGAAUUUUGGACAAUGGGGGCAACCCUGAUCCAGCCAUGCCGCGUGAGUGAAGAAGGCCUUCGGGUUGUAAAGCUCUUUCGGCCAGGAGGAAAUCGCACAGGCUAAUACCCUGUGUGGAUGACAGUACCGGAAUAAGAAGCACCGGCUAACUACGUGCCAGCAGCCGCGGUAAGAC
rnacentral:rRNA from 1 species